CCUACGGGUGGCAGCAGUAGGGAAUCUUCCACAAUGGACGAAAGUCUGAUGGAGCAACGCCGCGUGAGUGAUGAAGGGUUUCGGCUCGUAAAGCUCUGUUGGUAGUGAAGAAAGAUAGAGGUAGUAACUGGUCUUUAUUUGACGGUAAUUACUUAGAAAGUCCCGGCUAACUACGUGCCAGCAGCCGCGGUAAUACGUAGGUGGCAAGCGUUGUCCGGAUUUAUUGGGCGUAAAGCGAGUGCAGGCGGUUCAAUAAGUCUGAUGUGAAAGCCUUCGGCUCAAACGUAGAAUUGCAUCAGAAACUGUUAAUCUGGAGUGUAGAAGAGGAGAGUGGAACUCGAGGUGUAGGGGUGGAAUGCGUAGAGAUAUGGAAGAACACCAAUGGCGAAGGCGGCUCGCUAGA
rnacentral:rRNA from 1 species